UACGAAGGGGGCUAGCGUUGUUCGGAAUUACUGGGCGUAAAGCGCGCGCAGGCGGUUCUUCAAGUCAGAGGUGAAAGCCCAGGGCUCAACCCUGGAAUGGCCUUUGAGACUAGAGAACUAGGGUACGGGAGAGGUGAGUGGAAUUCCGAGUGUAGAGGUGAAAUUCGUAGAUAUCGGGAGGAACACCGGUGGCGAAGGCGACCCGCUGGCCAGCAACUGACACUGAGACGCGAAAGCGUGGGGAGCAAACAGG
rnacentral:rRNA from 1 species